GCCCCCGUAGCCCAAUGGCAGAGGCAGCAGACUUAAAAUCUGCAAAGUGCGGGUUCGAGUCCGGCCGGGGGCA
rnacentral:tRNA from 1 species